CUGAGGUGCGAAAGCGUGGGUAGCAAACUUGAAAAUUACCCUGGUAGUCCACGCCGUAAACGAUGUCGACCAGCCGUUGGGUGCCUAGCGCACUUUGUGGCGAAGUUAACGCGAUAAGUCGACCGCCUGGGGAGUACGGCCGCAAGGUUAAAACUCAAAUGAAUUGACGGGGGCCCGCACAAGCGGUGGAGCAUGUGGUUUAAUUCGAUGCAACGCGAAGAACCUUACCUACUCUUGACAUCCUGCGAAUUUGGUAGAGAUACCUUAGUGCCUUCGGGAACGCAGAGACAGGUGCUGCAUGGCUGUCGUCAGCUCGUGUUGUGAAAUGUUGGGUUAAGUCCCGUAACGAGCGCAACCCUUGUCCUUAUUUGCCAGCGCGUAAUGGCGGGAACUCUAAGGAGACUGCCGGUGACAAACCGGAGGAAGGUGGGGACGACGUCAAGUCAUCAUGGCCCUUACGAGUAGGGCUACACACGUGCUACAAUGGUCGGUACAAAGGGUUGCCAACUCGCGAGAGUGAGCCAAUCCCGAAAAGCCGAUCUCAGUCCGGAUCGGAGUCUGCAACUCGACUCCGUGAAGUCGGAAUCGCUAGUAAUCGUGGAUCAGAAUGCCACGGUGAAUACGUUCCCGGGCCUUGUACACACCGCCCGUCACACCAUGGGAGUGGACUGCACCAGAAGUGGUUAGCCUAACGCAAGAGGGCGAUCACCACGGUGUGGUCAUGACUGGGGUGAAGUCGUAACAAGGUA
rnacentral:rRNA from 2 species